CUCCUUCUUACAGCUCACCACUUGGCCAAUGGACUGCCCCACACUUUGUUUCUUUUGGCAUCUUUGGUUUCCUCCACAAGGGCGAUAUUAGGCUGGAAGACUCCAGACCAUCAGGACUGGGGAAGAAGCUUCUUUCCAGUUGGGCAGUGCCUCUGGUCCUCAACUCCAGGAUCUGUGAUUUCUCCUAAGCCUGAACCCUUUCAUUUUCCUGACACUUCCUGCCUGGCCAUUCUCUUGCUGACUUUCUAUAAAUUUCCUAAUUUAUGUCCUCUAAGCUCAUGCCUGGCACACCUCUGCCAUUUGAGGAAGAGUACCAUGGAGGAGGAAGAGGGAGAAGAAAAACAAAAUGUCCCCUUUUUGAGCUUUUUUACACUGUCUUCUACCUUUCUGCAAAAAGACUAACUUCCUAAACUCUUUGGGGAAGAUGAGCCCCUGCUACCACAGUGCCCCACGUGGGUGGACCACACAGAUUUGCUUUCAAGGGCAGACUGUCUAGUGGCUUACCUGUUAUUUCUCUUGCAUUACUACUUCUCAUUAGAAUUCUAGUGCCAGCAUUAGCUCUUAAAGCAAUUAUUUAAGUGUUGUUUCCUCAGGGGAACAAUUUGCCUUCCAACCUCAAUAAGCUGCCUUAAUCCCUGGUACAGACAGGGUGCAGGCUGGGGAGCAGUGUUGCCAUCAGCGGCUUGGUGGAAAGUUUUGCGUAGCCUAAUGCUAGAUGUUGCCUUUUGUAUUCUGUGGAAAUUUUCAGACCUUGCCUCUUAGCUCUUGGUGACUGGGGUCCUGACUCACCAGGAUCUCAGAUCAAGAAGGGCAUGACCUAACCCCCGUGUUCAGAAAGGAUUCUUAGGUCUAUAUAUUAGGGAGUCUGGCCCCCCCAAGUCCCAUGAGGCCAUGGUGUGGUGGGCUAGAGUUUGUGGGGGCAGCAAUCCAAACAUGCUUUACUUGGCUUUGUGAGUUUGAUGGGUCAUCAACCCCCACAUUUGUGUACCACCUUCACUCCCCGCAAUGUACACUCAGGGACAGAGUACGGUGGCCUGCCCACAAGCAGAAAAAACCUCACACAGAGGAAAUUAGCUACACCUGAGUAGACAAUUGCCCCCACUGACGUCAAAGAUCGCCUUCCCACCAUACCAGGUGUUUUGGAACUGUGGAAGAAGGGUCCUGAACAGGAAAAGCCUUCUGAAGGAGAAAAGCAAACAAAGAGAGGAGGAUGGAAGGAUCCUUGGUCCCCUCCCCAGAAUCCCAGGGAGAGGUGAGGUGCAUGUGUGGUGGUGGUAGAGCAGGUCAGUUUCCAGCCCAGGGACCUUUCCUGGAUGUUGCCAGUGCAGGGCCCGUGGCUUUGAGCUGAUAUGUGAACUCUCAUCUUUUCUUUGUCCUGCUGCCACUAUGACUAUUGGCUCAGCUCAGGUUGCUUGUCCUUUGCCCUGUGUCUUUAGCCUCUCCUAAGAGCUUCUGAAUUCCUCUCCCUAAGAGCUCCUGAAUUCUUGCGGUACAUUCACUCUAUCUCCCUAAGCAUCGAUAGUUGCUCCCUGACACAAUAAGGAGAUGUUACUUGCAAACAACAUCUAAUCAAAAUGGAAAAACAGGAAAUGAUCACUUUUAAAAAAGCCGUGAGUGAGGUUCAGUGGGUCCCUGAGCUAAACAGAACUGUAGUUCUUAUAAAGUAUCUAUCAUAUAUGUUAGACUUAGAGUGGGGCAGACUUUGGGUCUGUUUUGGAAAGCAAAAGGCCAAGAUGAAAUCUUGUUCCCAACAGGUCCUACCAAAGGCCAGAGCUUGGGUACUAAGGAUCUUUAAGAGAUCUAUUUAUGACUGUGGAUCUCUCUUUUGGAAGUUUAUUUAAUCAGAAUUCACUUUGGUCCAGAAUGAAAUUUUCUGCACAGUGUUUAUGGCUCCCUUUAUUUCCAGUCUCAUAGAGGAGGGAUAACAGGGUAUCAGAGGCCUCCAGCAUGCAAGGUGAAGUAACUGCAACUGGCACUGGCAGUUCUCUGCAGGGCUGCUUCCUUUCUUCUGCUCUGCUUCAGCAGCUGUGUGUGUGUGGGGGGGGCUAGCGGCUUCUCUUUAUCAAUUCACAGAGCCUUUAAGAUGUAUGUUUCCCUCCUCUACCCCCCCCCCUCCUUUGGGGCCUUGGAAUUUCUAGUUCCCUAUGAAUUUUCUGAAUGACUAAAGGUGGGAAAACCUAGGCUAAUAAUCAUCUUGAUUACCAUCAUCAUCUCAUAUGAAUGCUUUAAAUUUGCCAAAUGAGACUAUUGUUUCUUGAGAAAUCUCCCAUCCAAGUACUAACCAGGCCCAACCCUGCUUAGCUUCCGAGAUCAGAUGAGAUCUGGAGUGUUCAGGGAGGUGUGGCCAUAGACUGUUUCUGGAGAAAUCGUGCCCUCACUGAAACUUCCAUCCCCUGCCUGGUGUAGAUGACAACUGUCCAGAUCUUCACCACAUUUAGGACCCAAAAGAACAAAGCUCAGACUCCUAUAGGAAGCACAAACAGGGGCCUGUGGGUGUGAUGUGGCCAUGAUGCUGGCCAGGAGACCUGUGAUGGAGGUCAUAGAAGGUUGACUGGACAAGAACCCCUCAGAAGAGACAGCAAAGGGGAGGACCAGAUCAAGUCCCAGUGAUGUUGGUCCAGUCUAUGUACUUAGAGCAGCCAGGUUGUGUAUUUUGGUAAACAGAGCGAAUGUCUAACUGGUCCAGUUCUAAGAAAAGCUGGAAAGGUAACAAUGGUAUAUUUUUGGUACUUUUCUUGUCUAUGUUCUUAUGUUUUAUUAUCCACCUUAGCUAUACUUUCUUCUUAUUCAUCUGUGGCAACCCAGGGCCACAGAGUCAUAGAAACUUGGAGCUGGAAGAGACAGGCUGCAACAAUCCAGCGGUUUCGCGCCCUCACACGUUGACCAAACAAUUGUCCUCAACUGAACUCCAGCCCUGGCUCCUGCACCAUCUCAUAAGACCUCAUUUCUUAGGCAACUUCACUGUUACCAAGCUCCCUUCCCCACCAACUCAGUCUUCCUGCUUAUUAUGCCCACCUUUGUGCUCUGUGUAUUGGGGUAACAUUUAAUUGACUUCCACCACAUGUUGAUGCAGGCAGAGAUGGCCUCCUCAUUUCUUCUGUUCAAGCCAAAUCCAGCCAGCUUCAUCAUCGUAUCCAGAGGGAAAAAGGAGUCCGCACCUCAUUUGCCCAGCUUGCCCUCCUGUCAGCCCACCUUUCACCAAAAAUCAUCUCCAAAUGUGCUGUGCAUAUUUUCUUUGUACUCUCCCUUCACUUUUCAUCAAACCUUUUCUCAGAAAUGGCCCCUCCAACCUAAGACGCAAAUGAUUGAUCAUGCUUACUGUGCGCUUCCCAGAACUGUUUAUAUUGUAACAGGUUCAGAGCCUUAAGUCAAAGGGAUGGCUGGGAAUGCUUGGGCAGCAGGUAAUAGAAAUACAGGAGACAGGAGUAGAGGCACAGAACUUUUCCUGGAGUCCUAAAAUCAUGCCCAAUACAUUUCCUAAAUAGAAGACCAAGUCAACCAGAUAACUUACUCAAGACAAAAACACACGUGAACUUAAGUGGGAAUCAGGUCAUCUGAGUUACCAGUCUCAUCUUUAUCUCUGCUCGAACUAUUCACCCGGCCAGGUAAGUCCUCAUAAAGUAAAUUCCUUGAAGUCAGGAGUUGGUCUGAUUCUUUCCUGGUUUACUGUCAAGCCUAAGGCCCAGGUAACAUAUUAAUAGUUCCUCCUGUGAUGUCUCCUGGACAAAUGAGUGAAUGAGGUCAGGUCAGAAGGCAGAGUGUCUUAGGUCAUAAAUGUUAGCAUACAGCCCUGAGCAACCAACAUAGGAGCCCAUCUAGAAUGGGAUAUGGGAAUAGUAUGAAGUUUAGGGGAGCAAGUUAUCAGAACCUGUAUCUCAUUUCAGGGGCAAGAGGAGAUAGCAACAAGAAAAUAGUACCAACAUACCUGGGAUUCUAUCCCAAAGAUUUUCUAAAACAACUUAAACCAUUAUAUUUAAAUGAAAAAAUUCAAUGUAUCUGUUGAAUUGAAGGAAAGCUGUGCUUGGAAUCUCAGUCUGUGAUUGGAAGAUCAAGUGGAAGAAAUAUCUCAAAGCAGAACAAAAAUAAAAAUUGUGAAGAAGAUGCUUAGCUCAAGGAGCCCUAACAUUUGGACAUGGGAGUUCCAGAGACAGAAGACAAAAGAGAUGGAUAAAAAGCAGUCACACAAAUGGUAGAGGAAAAGUCUCUGUCUGGGCUGAAGAAAGACAACUUCACAGACUGAAAGGCAAAACAGAUGAGAAAAGACACAUGAGCCUAGCUUCAUAAAAUUCCUGAACCCCAAAGAUAAAGAGAAUAUCUUAAUGUCAUUUAGAAAGGAAGACAGAUUAUUUACAAAAGAAAAGAAUGAGAGUGGCCUCAGGUUUCCCAUUUGUGGCACCAGAGCAGAGUGACAGAAAACAAAGGAAAAACAUCUAUAGACAACUGCAAUGGCUGAUUGCACCCCAGAGAACCCACACCCAGCCACAGUGCCGUUCAUUUGUCACAGGAACGAAACUCAGGGACAUGCAAAGAGUCAGAGAAUGUGUCAUCCAUAAUUUCUCAAAUGUUCUGUGAAGAAAAUAUGAAAAAGUUCUAGACGAGUAAUAAGUGAAUCAGAACAGAGAUUGCAGGACAGGGAAAGACGAAGAAUAGAGGAAAGAAUGAUAGAACACAAAUAGGACACUCCAUGGACAAGCAUAGAGUGCAUGUUACCUGGGCAAGUAAGGGGUUAUUGCAGAAAGAACAAGCAUAUUGUAAGGAGAAAAAUUAAGAAUGAUAAAGCAUCUCAGUAAAGGUUAGGGUGGGAGAUGGUUGGAGAAGAACAAGACUGAUGCACUGGGGAGGAAACUGGAAGAAUUAUAGAAGCUUUAGCUCCUGGGAGAGUGGAAGGAAGGAGCACUGGAGAAAUGGGGUAUCACAUGGAGGUAAGCCACUGGGCACUUUAUUUUUAGGUAACAGUAGAGAAGUGGACUUUUGAUCAAGGGUGUUGGGAGAGGGGCGGUAACCACAAGUGGAAGGGAAAACCUGAAUGUUCCGGUUUCAUGUUUAGAUGCUUCCAGUGUUCCAGCUGUCCGUGUUUUGACUUUAAAACCCCACCCACAUGAAGCUCCUCUCUUUGUGUAAGGCUGUGGGUGCCCAUCCGCUGCUCUCUGCUUGGAGGGGACCUUCACUUCCUAGCACAGGAUCUCAACUUACCCCCCAGUCCAUGUCUGCCUGGGAGCCACUCAGCAAGUUCAUUUCCACAGCAUUUAUUAUUUACUUAAACAUGCCAAGAAACUCAUCCCCUGUUUACCUUCCCCAAUGACUCUGUUUUCAAUUUAUGCCAACAGCAUGUGAAACACACUCCUUACUUCUAACUUUGGCAAUCUUAUCACGAACUUCUUUUAAUAUUGCACAGUGGAUAGUUUUGAAGAUUUGGGUAGAGAGAGAAAAAUCAGGCUCAGGGAUAGGGAGUGACAGGUGUUUUUGAUUUGAUACAGGUGCCAGAAGAGGCAAAGAAGUUGAGUGCUGUACUGAUUGCCCCAGAGUUGAAACCACAGGUGUCCAAGCAAGAGCAUUUCUGUUGGGAGCUGGGCUAGUCACCGCUGGAGGACUUCGCUCCUUCAGGAGUUUUCAUUGUCAGUCUCUUCCUUGGAAAGAGCAUGAAUUUUGGAUGCAGAUGGAGCUGAAUGCCAGUCAUAACUCCUCUACUUGCCAGCUCGCCCCUCUGUGCAAACACUGGAUCCCAAGGCACAAACAUCUGGGCCCCCGCGAAUCUGUGAGCAGAAGAAGGAGAUGCCUCACCAGGCCAUGGUUGUGAAGACCACAGGAAACAGAAGCCACCAGUAGUAGUCUGACUUGUCAGAGGACAAGGCCACCAGCAGUCCCACCAGCGUGCCGUUGUAGCCGUGGAGUCCCGAGGUGAUGGCUGACCUGGAAAGGAGAUGAGUGCUUUGCACUGGAAUUUGGUAGUAUCUGUUGGGCCCUUCCUCGGGAUGAACUUAGAUGAUUCCUUUACAAAUUCUACAAAGAAGUGCACUGCCUGAGUAUUCAGCAGUCACAUAGCUACACACGCACACAAACACACACUUGAUUAUUCUUGCUGCUGUAGAAGUAAAUUAUGCACUCUUAUUUGUGGCUAAGCUCUUUGCUUUUGUUUUUCAGGGGCAUUUCAGACUGUGAAGUAUAGAGAAACCUCAUAGAAGUCUUGAUGUGUGACACUGUGUGUGUGUGUGUGUGUGUGUGUGUGUGUGUGUGUGUGUGCAUGUAUAGGUGUGUGAAAGGCAAGGAAGGAGGGAGGAAGCUAGGGAGGGAGAGGGAAUGUUUUCAUACUGCACUGUGUGCAGUUGCCCAUGCUGAAGUUGGGUUGCUUUCUCUCUCUCUGUGUUCAUGCCCACGUAGGCCAGCUGAAUGCACUUAGGAUGCCCAUGUGCCUAUCCCAUGUGUCCCACUCAGGAGUGUGUAGAAUUGGAUGUUUAAGAGGAGAAACCUAAAUCCUCUAAACCUGUCUCUCUGACCCUUCUCAACACUACCUUGACCUUUCCAGUAGCUCUGCAGGGAGAGGAGAGAGAGGAGGGGCCAGGAAGGGCUCUGCACAAAUCUACUGCAAGGUCCCUCCCCGAGAGUGAGCUUCCUGUGCUCAAGUUCUGUGCUCCUGUACUGGCCUGUGCACUUGGAUGGGGGAGUGGAGCCCAUCUGUGUUCACUGCUGUACCCUGGGCCCCAUCAUUAGCUAUGUCCCCGUGGAACAAGGCAUGAUAGUAUUUUUUAAGUUUUUGGAGUGAAACCCACUGUAUGGAAUACAUUUUAUAUUAUGAUUUCAUUCUCUCCCAGCCCACCUCAAAAUAAAUCAGAUACAAUUUCACAAAAUCAUGUUUAGCUUUACUGCACAUGAAUUGGUUGAGCUGGCUUUGAUUUAUUCUAUUGUUUUGAUAUUCUAAAAUGCUAUUGACGUUUGAUUUGUGAUCUGCAAACCUCCUCACUGAAGUAAGAUAUGGGGUAAUCUAGUUUCUGUUUCUCAAACUUGAGCAUAAGAAGCUUCUGAGAGAACUCUGUCAAAAAUACUUCUCCUAGAUUCACAGAAUGGCAAUGUCUUAGUUACUUUUCUCUCUUUGUUGAGACAAAAUAGCUGACACUCAAAAUGAAGGAAGAAAAGAUUAUUUAGCUCACAGUCUGUGGAGGUUUCAGUCCAUAAUCAACUGGCUCUAAGGAAGGGUGCUGAGGCACAGGGUCCACACUUCACGGCAGAAGAUAGCCAACGCAGCAAGUGCAAGCCUGUUUUCCUCCCUUCUAUUGUAAGCAGGCUACUACAGUCCUAGGCAACUGCAGCACUCACACCAUCUCCCCACCCUUCUCUUGCACAGACUCAGGAACUUUACAAAGUGAGAAUCCUGGCCCUCUGCGGAGUCCCUUAGUUAACUUCUAAACAUCUCAAAAUGGCACAAUGUGUCAUCCACUAAAUGGAAUAUCUACAGGGGGUAGGGUGAGCAGGGUGCUGAACUGUGUCUUAUCCCCUUUUAAUUUUGCAGUAUUGGGGACUGAACCCAGGUCUUUUAAACUGAUCUAUAUCCCUUUUAUUUUGAUUUUUAUGUUUGAGACAAUACCUUCCAAAGUCACUAAGUUAUCCAGGCUGGAUUCUAACUUGUGACCCUCCUGCCUCAGAUCCCAGAAUCUUGGAAUUAUGAGUAUAUGCCAUCAUGCCCAGCUUUAAAUUGUAUUUCUUAAUAAUCAUCUCAAAGGACUCUAUCAGGAAAAUCUGGGACUGCUGGCAUAAUAUAUAGCAAAGCCUGAAGACAUAGUGGAAGUCUACAAAAUGCUAGUUGUUACUAUACUUUGCAUUGACCAAAGCCUUGGGCCCAGCAGAGCUGGUCCCUCCCCUUGCAACUUUGUUGCUUUCUGAUGAUCCUGUGUGUCCCCUUCUUCAAUGUCCCCUUCCACAUCGUCUUCCCCUUUCUUCUCACCUUCUCCCAUUCCUGGUACCCACCAUGCCUAAUUCCAGGCUAUUGUAGAGAGCCUUCCCAAUGCUCAGGCAUGUUUGUUGUAUUAUUCUGACAUUAAUCGCCCAUUAACUUUAUCUCCUAAAACUGUUGUAGGCUCCACGAGGGAAGAGCAGUUUAAGCAUUUCUCUGUACCUCCCUUGCAAGAGUCUUCCCCAAAGUCUCCAGAAUCAAGCAGAGACUGAUGUCAGCAGCUCAUGUGGGUUGGAGCAGUUUAUUUCUGUUGGGACCAUCAGGGACCUGCUCAAAGUUGACACUCAGCAGACUGGCUGGCUGGGAGGCUAAGGCUGGCUGACCCGUCAAGUAAAUGCUUCACCUAUCUGUUUCCUGUGUCUUGCCAAGAGGUCUGCAGAGAGGAACUCACCUGUCCUGGCUUAAAGCAAGAGCAGU